rnacentral:lncRNA from 1 species
UUUAGCCUUGCUGUGCCUUAGCUCAUCGUACAGUUUCACUAACCAUCAACAUCCAUUCAGGUUAUAAAAACUUCUAUAUUUCUAGAAGCAUAGACUGUCCAUUGAUUCAACUUGUUGAAAAGAUUACUCUGGCAAGGAAACACAGGUAUUUUGGGAUCUCCACCAGUAGUGGUAAUGAAGCAGUGAGAAUAAGGCUGUUAAGCUUGGAACACUGAGAAACCCGCUUGUUUUGGAUGAGUUCCCCUCUUGGAGGACCAGCUCCAAAGCCUGCAAAGCAGGAACCACCUUCAGACAAACAGAGCUUCAUGACAUUAGAACCAUCAAGAGCAUUGAAAUUCAAGGACAGCAGAGUUUUAUGCAUGUGCUUCUCAUUGAGAACUAAGGCUUCCGUUUCAUGACACAGAGAUUCAAAGUACAUCAUCAUAUCAUUUAUGAACAGAGAAAAUUUAAGAUUUCUCCACUAUUUGUGGAAUUUUCAGCAGUCAUUAGUUCUAUUUGUUCUUGCCUACAAUAAAACUUAAAUGAUGUUGUUUUGCAAUCCUUUAAUAAAACGUUAAAUGACCAUGACGAUUUUCAG